UUCAAAAAUUUAAAUUUAAUAUGAAAGAAAAUGUUAUAAAAUAAUUUAGAAUUAUAAACAGUGGGUCUCGUUUUCUUAGGAACAUCCAAGACAGACAUAUUUGGUACGCCGGUCAAAGAUAGCAUUGACAGAUUAAUUCGACAUGGAAACACUAAUUGGUUCAUAUAAAAAUA